CAGUAGCCGCGGUAAGACAGAGGAUGCAAGCGUUAUCCGGAAUGAUUGGGCGUAAAGCGUCUGUAGGUGGCUUUUCAAGUCCGCCGUCAAAUCCCAGGGCUCAACCCUGGACAGGCGGUGGAAACUACCAAGAUGGAGUACGGUAGGGGCAGAGGGAAUUUCCGGUGGAGCGAUGAAAUGCGUUGAGAUCGGAAAGAACACCAACGGUGAAAGCACUCUGCUGGGCCGACACUGACACUGAGAGACGAAAGUUAGGGGAGAAAAUGGGAUUAGAUACCCGGGUAGUCCCUGUCUCUUAUAC
rnacentral:rRNA from 1 species